rnacentral:rRNA from 1 species
GAUGAACGCUGGCGGCGUGCUUAACACAUGCAAGUCGAACGGAAAGGCCCAAGCUUGCUUGGGUACUCGAGUGGCGAACGGGUGAGUAACACGUGGGUGAUCUGCCCUGCACUUCGGGAUAAGCCUGGGAAACUGGGUCUAAUACCGGAUAGGACGAUGGUUUGGAUGCCAUUGUUGAAAGUUUUUUCGGUGUGGGAUGAGCUCGCGGCCUAUCAGCUUGUUGGUGGGGUAAUGGCCUACCAAGGCGUCGACGGGUAGCCGGCAUGAGAGAGUGUACGGCCACAUUGGGACGGAGAUACGGCCCAGACUCCUACGGGAGGCAGCAGUGGGGAAUAUUGCACAAUGGGCGCAAGCCUGAUGCAGCGACGCCGCGUGGGGGAUGACGGCCUUCGGGUUGUAAACUCCUUUCGCUAGGGACGAAGCGUUUUUGUGACGGUACCUGGAGAAGAAGCACCGGCUAACUACGUG